rnacentral:rRNA from 1 species
UACGGGGGGCGCAAGCGUUGUUCGGAUUUACUGGGCGUAAAGGGCGCGUAGGCGGCACCGCAAGUCGACUGUGAAAUCUCCGGGCUUAACCCGGAAAGGUCAGCCGAUACUGCGGGGCUAGAGUGCAGAAGGGGCAACUGGAAUUCUCGGUGUAGCGGUGAAAUGCGUAGAUAUCGAGAGGAACACCUGCGGCGAAGGCGGGUUGCUGGGCUGACACUGACGCUGAUGCGCGAAAGCUAGGGGAGCGAACGGG